rnacentral:rRNA from 1 species
GUGAGGAAUUUUCCGCAAUGGGCGAAAGUCUGACGGAGCAAUGCCGCGUGAAGGAUGAAGGCCUAUGGGUUGUAAACUUCUUUUCUCAGAAAAGAAUUAUGACGGUAUCUGAGGAAUAAGCAUCGGCUAACUCUGUGCCAGCAGCCGCGGUAAGACAGAGGAUGCAAGCGUUAUCCGGCAUGAUUGGGCGUAAAGCGUCUGUAGGUUGUUUAAAAAGUAUUCUGUCAAAGAUUAGGGCUUAACCCUAGAUAAGCAGAAUAAACUUUUAAGCUAGAGUUUGGUAGAGGCAGAGGGAAUUCCCGGUGGAGCGGUGAAAUGCGUAGAUAUCGGGAGGAACACCAAAGGCGAAGGCACUCUGCUGGGCCAAUACUAACACUGAGAGACGAAAGCGAGGGGAGCAAAUGGGAUUAGAAACCCCAGUAGUCC